CACACACACAUCAGUGUGUGUGUUGGCCAGGAGCCAAGAAAGAAAAGGAAGAACCCUUAUCAUCAUACAAAAUUCAGCAAUUGAAGCUUUAAUCAUGGCUAAUACUCAUGCAUGUCUUUGAUUUCCUAAUCCUCCAAGCAUACUAAAGCACAAGGAAUUAAGAAAAAAGCUCAAGUCAUUCCGGAUCGCAAACGAAGAACGAUAAAGGCAUCUUGAUCCGCGGCGUUACGUUGGAACGAACACAUCACCUCACAAGCUUCCGCUACGAUACUUAACUAAACGGGUCAAAACUUUUGUUGGAAGGUUCUUCGUUAUGUUUAAUCUUUUGUAAAAACUUAACUUUGAAGGAUGUCGAAACUUUUGUUGUUUUAUGUUUGUGAUGGUUGUUUAAGAAUUUGGAUGUAAACUUUUAAGUAGAUUAUCUCCGUUAGUUUAUGUCGAAGUUUAUGGAAAA